rnacentral:rRNA from 1 species
UACGUAGGCAGCAAGCGUUGUUCGGAGUUACUGGGCGUAAAGGGUGCGUAGGCGGCUUCUUAAGUCUGGUGUGAAAUCUCCCGGCUCAACUGGGAGGGUGCGCCGGAUACUGAGGGGCUAGAGUGUGGGAGAGGAAAGUGGAAUUCCUGGUGUAGCGGUGAAAUGCGUAGAUAUCAGGAGGAAUACCGGUGGUGUAAACGGCUUUCUGGACCAUAACUGACGCUGAGGCACGAAAGCGUGGGUAGCAAACAGG